AGUGACCAGUCAUAUCCUAGACAAAGCCUCCCCUCCAUGAAUGAUAUCUUAUCAUCAAUGGAAUGACACACAGAGAGUUAAAACUUCUAGGUCAAAGGAAGUUAAUUUGCUAGAUCAACAUGCAGAUCAAUGUCUUAUGAAUGCUUGUUAAUAGCCAAAUGUUUUAAGUUAUGAUUCCUGUGUAAUUCUAGUUUUAAUUGGAAGAUGA